rnacentral:lncRNA from 1 species
AUGGUUUGUGGUAAUGACGCCACUGUUUUUGGUAGUGAUGGCUUUGUUUUAUGUAAUGACUGUACUUAUAAAAUAGUUUGUGCUAGUGACACCACUGUUUUGAUAUUGGCUGCACUGUUUUAUGUACUUAUGGAAUGGUUUGUGGUAAUGACAGCACUGUUUUAUGUAUUUAUGGAAUGGUUUGUGGUAGUGACAGCACUGUUUUUGGUACUUAUGGAAUGGUUUGUGGUAGUGACAGCACUGUUUUUGGUAGUUAUGGAAUGGUUUGUAGUAGUGACUGCACUGUUUUUGGUACUUAUGGAAUGGUUUGUGGUAGUGACAGCACUGUUUUUGGUACUUAUGGAAUGGUUUGUAGUAGUGACACCACCGUUUUUGGUACUUAUGAAAUGGUUUGUGGUAGUGACUGUGUUUAUUAAUGGCGGCUCUGUUUUUGGUAGUGACAGCUCUGUUUUUGGUAGUGACAGCUCUGUUUUUGGUAUUGACAGCUCUGUUUUUGGUAGUAAAAUCUCUGUUUUUGGUAGUGACAGCUCUGUUUUUGGUAGUAAUGGCUCUGUUUUUGGCAGUGGCAGUAUUCUCAGGAAUCUACAAUACACAAAAUGAACUGCUUGUAAUUUACUCCUGAGCUGCUACAGUGUGUAGUGCUGCAGGCUUCCACCAGAUGGAGACCAACACCAGUGAACAGACAGCACCAACCCCUACAGUGAGCACAUGGAGAGUACACACAGUCAACACAUAAAAUACAGAGCCUACAAAUAUCGUUUAAUUCUUUAUAUUAAUCAUAUUAUAGUAUCAUCAUUGGUGAUAUCAAGUGUUACACAUUAUUUUCCACAUUCUUCAAAGAAGCUCCUCUUGUUUAGAUGAUCAGUUUUACACAUCUCUGCUGGAUUUUCUUAGUCAGUUUACAUUAAACCAAACAUCUGGGACUUGUCAGACUAUGGUCUAUGAAAAUUCUUUUUGAAGUCGUCUAUUGUAUGGUUAGCAUUAACAAAGAAAAAAUUAUUAUGAUGAAACUAGCAUUCGUCAGCACCGCCACACCAUAUGUAUAUAAAUAGUAAUAUUUUAUUAGCUAAUACUAAUACUAAAGAGCUUUUGUGGAAUCUGCUGAAGUUUGAAGCCAGUCUCUGUCUUAAAAAAAGGAAAGUGAGAAAUAAUCACGAUUAAUCACAGAAUAUAGUUGUGAUUAAUCAGAUUACUUUUAACACUGAAGCUGCCUUCAAACACAUGUAGUUUCUACACAAGCUCAUUAGUAAUAGUAUUAGCUAGCAAAAUACUACUACUGGUUAAAUGCAUCUGGAAGAAAAUAAGAGUCCACUUAAAAAUUAUGAGUUUCAUUGAUUUUACUAAAUUUAAAACCUAUGGAAUAUAAUCAAGAGGAAGAUGGAUGAUCACAAGCCAUCAACUCAAGCUGAACUGCUUGCAUUUUUGCACCAGACGUGGCAUAAAGUUAUCCAAAAGCAGUGUGUAAGACUGGUGGAGGAGAACAUGAUGCCAUUAAAAACCAGGGUUAUUCCACCAAAUAUUGAUUUCUGAACUUUUAAAACUUUAUGAAUAUGAACUUGUUUUCUUUGCAUUAUUUGAGGUCUGAAAGCUCUGCAUCUUU